rnacentral:rRNA from 1 species
AUGGAGCACAUGGAGAAUGAGAGCCACGAGGGGAAAAAGCAGGAUGAAGAGGGGCAUCAUAACAAUGAGGUGGUCCGUCUUGAAGAAUACAAGAAGCUUAUUGACGUAAAGACGGCUCUCCGCCAGAGUAACCUAAACCCUGAGAGGCCUGAUGCAAGUCACCUGAGAACUCUUGAUUCCAGUAUUAAGCGCAACACAGCAGUUAUCAAGAAGCUCAAAGCGAUAAACGAUGAACAAAAGGAUGGCUUAAUGGAAGAAUUGAAAAGUGUGAAUCUAAGCAAAUUUGUCAGUGAAGCAGUUUCUUACAUUUGUGAGGCCAAACUUCGUUCUGCUGAUAUACAAGCUGCUGUUCAGAUAUGCUCGCUACUUCAUCAAAGGUACAAGGACUUCUCUCCUUGCCUUAUUCAAGGACUGCUGAAAGCCUUCUUUCCAGGGAAAGCUGGAGAUGAUAUAGAUCUAGAUAAGAACUCAAGGGCCAUGAAGAAAAGAAGCACACUGAAGCUUCUUAUGGAAUUGUAUUUUGUUGGAAUUGUUGAAGAUGCUAGUACUUUCAUAAACAUUAUAAAGGAUCUGACGUCGGUGGAACAUUUGAAGGACCGUGAAACAACUCAGACAAAUUUGACUCUCCUUGCUAGUUUUGCUCGCCAAGGAAAGCAUUUUCUUGGAUUACAAAAACAUGGGCAAGAAGCUUAUGAUGAGUUUUUUAUGGGCCUCAAUAUUACCGAUGAUCUGAAGACGUUCUUUAAGAAAUCCUUGAGCUCUUACUAUGAUGCCGCAGUUGCAAUUCUCCAGUCAGAACAUGCGUCUCUUCGUGCAAUGGAGUCUGAAAAUGCAAAGAUUUUAAAUGUCAAAGGGGAACUAAGUGAUGAGAAUACUGCCUUGUAUGAGAAGCUUCGGAAAUCUUUCGAUCAGUUAUUGCGCUGCGUUUCAUCCUUAGCUGAAGCUCUUGAUAUGCAGCCUCCUGUUAUGCCAGAUGAUGGACAUACAACAAGGGUAACUACGGCGUCAGAGUUAUCCCCUUCUGGGAAACAUUUUUCUGCAGUAGAACCUAUCUGGGAUGAUGAAGACACAAAGGCAUUUUAUGAGUCUUUGCCUGAUCUCAGAGUAUUCGUGCCUGGUGUACUAUUGGGAGAAGCUGAACCAAAGUUGGUAGAUCAACAUGGAAAGGUUCACGAACAAACUGGUGAGCAUAAAUUGGAACAAGGAGCUGAAGUUCAAAACAAUGCUGAAGCUUCUGUCCCUGAGCACCAGUUGGAAGGAAAAACAAAUGUUGGAUCCAAGAAUAGAGAAAAAAAAGAUAAAACAGGCAAAGAAAUUUCUAAAGAAAAAGAGGCUGAUCAAAAAGGAGAUAUUGAAAGAGAAAAAGUAAGAGUCACAGAUGGCGCAAGUUUGGACAACCUGCUUCAGAGGCUGCCAAGGUGUGUGAGCCGAGAUCUAAUUGACCAAUUGACGGUGGAGUUUUGCUAUCUGAAUUCUAAAGCAAACAGGAAGAAACUUGCACGAGCUUUAUUCAAUGUUCCAAGGACUUCGUUGGAACUGUUACCUUUCUACUCCCGUUUAGUUGCCACUUUGUCCACAUGCAUGAAGGAUCUCCCAAGUAUGCUCUUGUCAAUGCUUGAAGAAGAGUUUAACUUUUUGAUGAACAAGAAGGAUCAGAUCAAAAUCGAAACAAAAAUUAGAAAUAUUAGAUUUAUUGGGGAAUUGUGCAAAUUCAAUAUUGCUCCAUCAGGCCUUGUUUUUAGUUGUUUGAAGGCUUGCCUAGAUGAUUUUAGCCAUCAUAACAUUGAUGUGGCCUGCAAUCUUCUUGAGACCUGCGGGCGCUUUCUUUAUCUCUCACAAGGAACUACAGUUCGCAUGUCAAACAUGCUGGAAAUACUGAGGAGGUUGAAAAAUGUGAAGAAUUUGGAUCCACACCACAGCACACUUGUAGAGAACGCCUAUUACUUAUGCAAACCACCAGAAAGAUCUGCCAGAGUCUCUAAAGUCCGGCCACCUCUGCAUCAGUACAUAAGGAAGCUGCUUUUCUCAGAUCUUGAUAAAACAAGUGUUCAGCAUGUUCUUCGUCAGUUACGCAAGUUACCUUGGGCUGAGUGUGAGGAGUACCUGGUGAAAUGUUUUCUCAAGGUUCACAAGGGAAAAUAUAGCCAAGUUCAUCUGAUUGCUCUUCUAACUGCUGGUCUUAGUCACUAUCAUGAUGAUUUUCAUGUGGCUGUGGUAGAUGAGGUUCUAGAAGAGAUUAGAGUUGGACUUGAGCUGAAUGACUAUGCAAUGCAACAGCGACAACUUGCCCACAUGCGAUUCCUUGGGGAGCUGUAUAACUACGAGCAUAUUGAUUCAUCAGUUAUAUUUGACACAUUGUACCUUAUUACUGUAUUUGGUCAUGGAACACUGGAACAAGAUCUGCUUGAUCCCCCAGAAGAUUUCUUCAGGAUAAGGAUGAUUGUUACACUUCUCCAGACGUGUGGUCACUAUUUUGAUAGAGGCUCUUCAAAAAGAAAGCUUGACAGAUUUUUGCUACAUUUUCAAAGAUAUAUUCUGAACAAAGGGCCAUUGCCACUUGAUGUUGAGUUUGAUGUGCAGGACAUGUUUGCUGAGCUACGGCCUAACAUGACUAGGUAUUCAUCUCCAGAACUGUUGGCUUCUGCUCUGGCUGAGCUUGAAGAAAAUGAGAAGACGAAACAAUCCGAAAGUGCUGCUUCUGAUGUCAGCUGCAAGAGCUCAGCAAACAGGCCUGACAAAAAUGGCAGGGGCCACGAAGAAGUAGCAGACAGUGAAAGCUACUCAGGUAGCAGAAGCAUCUAUCGCGAUGGAAGUGAAGAUGGAGAUUCUCUGUACGAAGAAAACUCAGAUGGCAGGUCAGGGAAUGGGGUUGUAGAUGACGAUGACACCAGGCCUUCUGGUUCUGAUGAAGAAGAAAGGGUCCAGGUUAGACAUAAGGUGGUGCAAGUUGACCCUAAGGAGCAGGAAGACUUUGACCGGGAGCUGAGGGCCCUUCUACAGGAAAGCUUGGAGUCGCGCAAGUUGGAGCCACGGGUGAAAUCCACUUUGAAUAUGACUGUACCGAUGAAAAUCGUUGAGGGGUCAAAGGACUCGAGAGCCACUGAAAGAGAGAGUGGAGAAGAGCUUACAGCUGAGGAAAGUGGUAAUGCUGGGGGCGGUAGUGAGGUCAAGGUGUGCGUCAGGGUGCUUGUGAAGAAAGGGCACAAGCAGCAGACAAGGCAAAUGCUCAUUCCUGGGGACUGCUCACUCGUUCAGAGCACAAAGCAGCAAGAGGCGGCUCUGCUCGAGGAGAAGCAAAACAUCAAGCAGAAAAUCCUGGAAUACAACGAGAGGGAGGAGGAAGAAUUCAACGCAUCAUCAUUCCAAACUGGGUUCUGGGGUCAAGGAGGAAGCAGCGCAGGCGGCAGUAUCGGCUCGGCCGGUCGUGGUUCAUGGGACGGUUCAAACAGAGGCGGUCGCGGCCGGCAGCGGUACUACAUCGCCGGCGGGAUCUAUCAUGGCUAUGGCAGGGGAAGGUGA